rnacentral:rRNA from 1 species
GACGAACGCUGGCGGCGCGCCUAACACAUGCAAGUCGAACGAGCGAGAGAGAGCUUGCUUUCUUGAGCGAGUGGCGAACGGGUGAGUAACGCGUGAGGAACCUGCCUCAAAGAGGGGGACAACAGUUGGAAACGACUGCUAAUGCCGCAUAAGCCCACGACCCGGCAUCGGGUUGAGGGAAAAGGAGCAAUCCGCUUUGAGAUGGCCUCGCGUCCGAUUAGCUAGUUGGUGAGGUAACGGCCCACCAAGGCGACGAUCGGUAGCCGGACUGAGAGGUUGAGCGGCCACAUUGGGACUGAGACACGGCCCAGACUCCUACGGGAGGCAGCAGUGGGGAAUAUUGCACAAUGGGGGAAACCCUGAUGCAGCGACGCCGCGUGGAGGAAGAAGGUCUUCGGAUUGUAAACUCCUGUUGUUGAGGAAGAUAAUGACGGUACUCAACAAGGAAGUGACGGCUAACUACGUG